UGGCGGCAGUAGCGCGGUGGUCCCACCUGACCCCAUACCGAACUCAGAAGUGAAACGCCGUAGCGCCGAUGGUAGUGUGGGGUCUCCCCAUGCGAGAGUAGGGAACUGCCA
rnacentral:rRNA from 1 species